ACAGAAUGGAAGAUAUGCCUGAGUUCCCUGGAGAACAAUGAGGGGUUUCACAGAACUCAAUUUGGAAGAUGACGCACGUGUUGUAGUUACAGAGUGAUAUUCCCGUGACACUUGUAAGUGGGAAGUGAAUUGGACACCAGAUGAGCAUAGCUUCCGUAGAAGGCAAAGACCUUUCCUCGUCUGAAUUACUGCCACCAUGAAAUAGAUUGAAAAAAAUAUAUCAUUUUAUAUCAACCAGUAGCAUCCCAAUCCACAGAGGGGUGUCUCCUAAAGCUAUCAAGAUAGUAUCAGAGUCUUAAUCAUUUCUGGAAUAGUGAGAGCCCCAACAUCAACCAGCACCCACAAAGGCUGCAACCCCAGGGCCAGCUGCCAUCACCUUGGACAGACACCCGCUUGGGAUUCAAUCUCUGAACUCUGUGACCCAGAGCAUGUGCCUGCGGGCUCCUGCUAUUCACCCAGGCACGGUGGCAGAGUGGGCCCUGACCUCCUGGAGCUAGAGAAUCACAAAGCCCUGGUCAUUGCUGUCGAGAGAGCUGGGAACAGCAUGGGACUGCUGCAAACACACCCACACACAUAUGAACGUGGACUAAAUAUCCGUAAUCAAAUACUCCUCAUGGUGGACACACACUUAGUUAAUGCAGCCUGGCCCCAUGUGAAGCUGUGCAACAUCAUGGGAAGCAGCACAGCUUCAGAAGGAGACUGGAUUCAACAUUCAGCUAUCAGUUUUUUCUCUAAACCUCUGUUUUCUCCUCAAUAAAAUGGGGAUAAUAAUAGCAUCCCCCUUAGGGGAUUUUAUAAGAAUUCAAUGAAGCCAUAUGUAAAAAUCUCUAGCCCAGUGUCUUGCAUAGGAAAACAAAAA